rfam:Salmo salar isolate Sally breed double haploid chromosome ssa14, whole genome shotgun sequence.
ACACUGGCUUUACUCAAAGCCAUUGCCAUGUUAUUAGUAAAGAUUG